rnacentral:misc_RNA from 1 species
GCAAACUUGGUCAUUUAGAGGAAGUAAAAGUCGUAACAAGGUCUCCGUAGGUGAACCUGCGGAGGGAUCAUUACCGAGCGAGGGCCCCACGCGGGCCCGACCUCCCAACCCUGUGCCGUCCGACCCGGUUGCCUCGGGUGGGCGCGCCGGCCGCCUCGCGCGCCGGCGCCGCUGCCCGGUGGACCCUUCAACGCUGCAUCGCUGCGUCCGCGUCGCUUGAGAAAUCGAAGCAAAACUUUCAACAACGGAUCUCUUGGUUCUGACAUCGAUGAAGAACGCAGC